rnacentral:lncRNA from 1 species
GUCGUUUUGUUCACACACACACACACACGGUCGUUUUGUUCACACACACACACGGUCGUUUUGUUCACACACACACACGGUCGUUUUGUUCACACACACACGGUCGUUUUGUUCACACACACACACGGUCGUUUUGUUCACACACACACACGGUCGUUUUGUUCACACACACGGUCGUUUUGUUCACACACACACGGUCGUUUUGUUCUCACACACACACACACACACACGGUCGUUUUGUUCACACACACACACGGUAGUUUUGUUCACACACACAAACACGGUCGUUUUGUUCACACACACAAACACGGUCGUUUUGUUCACACACACACACACACACAGUCGUUUUGUUCACACACACGCACACACACAUACACACACGGUCGUUUUUUCAAACACACACACACAGUCGUUUUGUUCACACACACACACACACACACACGGUCGUUUUGUUCACACACACGGUCGUUUUGUUCACACACACAUACACACACGGUCGUUUUGUUCACACACACACACACACACACACACACACACACACACACACGGUCGUUUUGUUCACACACACACGGUCGUUUUGUUCACACACACACGGUCGUUUUGUUCACACACACACACAUACACACGGUAGGUUUGUUCUCUCACACACACACGGUCGUUUUGUUCACACACACACACACACACACACGGUCGUUUUGUUCACACACACACACACGGUCGUUUUGUUCACACACACACACGGUCGUUUUGUUCACACACACACACACACACACACACACACGGUCGUUUUGUUCACACACACGGUCGUUUUGUUCACACACACACACACACACGGUCGUUUUGUUCACACACACACACACACGGUCGUUUUGUUCACACACACACACACACGGUCGUUUUGUUCACACACACACACACACACACACACGGUCGUUUUGUUCACACACACACACGGUCGUUUUGUUCACACACACACGGUCGUUUUGUUCACACACACACGGUCGUUUUGUUCACACACACACACGGUCGUUUUGUUCACACACACACACACACACGGUCGUUUUGUUCACACACACACGGUCAUUUUGUUCACACACACACACACACACACACGGUCGUUUUGUUCACACACACACACGGUCGUUUUGUUCACACACACACACACGGUCGUUUUGUUCACACACACACACGGUUGUUUUGUUCACACACACACACACGGUCGUUUUGUUCACACACACACACGGCCGUUUUGUUCACACACACACACACACACGGUCGUUUUGUUCACACACACACACACAACACACGGUAGGUUUGUUCUCACACACACACACAUACACACACACACACACACGGUCGUUUUGUUCACACACACACACACGGUCGUUUUGUUCACACACACGGUCGUUUUGUUCACACACACACGCACACACGGUCGUUUUGUUCACACACACACACACGGUCGUUUUGUUCACACACACACACACGGUCGUUUUGUUCACACACACACACACGGUCGUUUUGUUCACACACACACACGGUCGUUUUGUUCACACACACACGGUCGUUUUGUUCACACACACACACGGUCGUUUUGUUCACACACACACACGGUCGUUUUGUUCACACACACACACGGUCGUUUUGUUCACACACACACGGUCGUUUUGUUCACACACACACGGUCGUUUUGUUCUCACACACACACACACACACACGGUCGUUUUGUUCACACACACACACGGUAGUUUUGUUCACACACACAAACACGGUCGUUUUGUUCACACACACACACGGUCGUUUUGUUCACACACACACACACACACACAGUCGUUUUGUUCACACACACGCACACACACAUACACACACGGUCGUUUUUUCAAACACACACACACAGUCGUUUUGUUCCACACACACACACACACACACGGUCGUUUUGUUCACACACACGGUCGUUUUGUUCACACACACACACACACGGUCGUUUUGUUCACACACACACACACACACACACACACACACACACACACGGUCGUUUUGUUCACACACACACGGUCGUUUUGUUCACACACACACACACACACGGCGGUUUGUUCUCUCACACACACACGGGUCGUUUUGUUCACACACACACACACACACACACGGUCGUUUUGUUCACACACACACACACGGUCGUUUUGUUCACACACACACACGGUCGUUUUGUUCACACACACACACACACACACACACACACACACGGUCGUUUUGUUCACACACACACGGUCGUUUUGUUCACACACACACACACGGUCGUUUUGUUCACACACACACACACACGGUCGUUUUGUUCACACACACACACACGGUCGUUUUGUUCACACACACACACACGGUCGUUUUGUUCACACACACACACGGUCGUUUUGUUCACACACACACGGUCGUUUUGUUCACACACACACACGGUCGUUUUGUUCACACACACACACGGUCGUUUUGUUCACACACACACACACACGGUCGUUUUGUUCACACACACACACGAUCGUUUUGUUCACACACACACGGUCGUUUUGUUCACACACACACACACACACACACACGGUCGUUUUGUUCACACACACACACACACGGUCGCUUUGUUCACACACACACACACACACGGUCGUUUGUU